AUGACCUCUAUAUGACCUUGAACUUUGACCUCAAGGUCAAAAUUGAUUAUAGGGUUUUGACAUAAUCAUACCAUAAGACAUGGGUGUAUCACCAUGAGACUAUGUGUCAUGUACAUUCAUGACCUCUAUGACCUUGACCUUUGAUCUCAAGGUCAAAAUUAUAGGUUUAUAACAUGGAUUUUUGUUUGGACUAUAUCUUCCAUUUUCUUCUACAAAGUCAUACUAUAUUUUUACACUCAGGAAAGAGGUAAUUUAUGCCUAUUAACAACACCCUUUGGGAGAUUGGAGUAAGCGGGGGGUAUAUUCUUAGUGAGCAUUGCUCACAGUACCUCUUGUUUUUAAUUGAAGACCGCACUAUACACCCAAGCUGUUAAACUACUAAAUACCUCAAAUAAUGACCUGGUAGCCACUGCCAGUUUUAACAGAUGUGAGUGUCAAACGGUUAAAAUUUGAGUGAGACUAGGUACGUUUAGCAGUACAGAAGACUGACUGCACUUCCAGAUAAACCAGGUGAAUUUAGGGCUGGGACCUUGAAGACAUUUCGACAAAAGCAGGAUAUUCGUGCUAACCGUACUUGAGAUAUCUGGAGUUUUUUUAAAAUCAUUUAUCUAGGCAAUAUGGAUGGGACUGAUGAUUGACUUUAACACGACCAGGGUAUUCGAGAUAAAGUAUAUACUAGAGAAUUGUAUUCCACAUACCCUCCUGUCUACAGCCUGUGUGGAUGUAUAGAUCACAACCUGGGGUUUAUCCCUGUACAUCCGUGACUGGACCUGGAUAAAUAAUAGUUAAGUUAGCACAUAUAAAAUGGUGUUGUACAUGUAUAUGAAAUGUGCUGGCCGUUGAUCAUGUAUACUAGCAUAUGUGUUGUCUCUCAGCAUCUUGCAUAGUUUUAUCCGUGAUUUACAUCGAACUUUCACAAA